rnacentral:misc_RNA from 1 species
UCUCCGUAGGUGAACCUGCGGAAGGAUCAUUAUUGUAUAACCGAGGCGCAAGGGCUGACGCUGACCCGAACUGUCGUUCACUCCCGAGUGCCGCCCCACACAUCCAUCCCACCCCUCUGUGCACCACCGCGUGGGUCCAACUUUGGUGUGUUUGUCGGGGGGCUCUCGGUUUCACACAAACUAAGAAUUCAGUACAGAUUGUAUUUUUUGUUUUUGCGCUCGCGCAAUCGAUAAAACUUGCAAAAACGGAGCGCAUGCCUCUCGCAUCGAUGAAGAACC